GCUCCAAGAUGAGCUGGUUACAUGCUGGUAUUGGGCCACAGAUGAAGAAAAAACAUUAUGGCCAAAAAUCCCAAUAAUCUCCACCUGGCCCAAAUGAGUCAUCGGGACAUUUAAGAGGAAAAACAAGAUCAUCAUUGCAGUAUGACACUACCUGCACUUAAAACACAAAGAUAGUACAAGUUUAAAAAACAAAAUACAAAGUAAUGCAAAAAACAAGCACAAAACAAAGAAAUAUGCAAAUAACAAGCAAAACACAAAGUAUUGCAAAAAUUCUAACACAUUAUAAUACAUCACCACCAUCCGAUAUCAUAUUGGCUUGAUCACUAUGUUGGUUUUUCUUAGGCUUGGGACACUCAUUAAUAAAAUUAUUAUGGUCACCACAAUUAAAACACCUCCUAUUAUUAGGAUUAGCUUCGACUUACUCCAAUCUCCACCCUUUUUCUUAUUUUGAAAGCGAUUAAACUGACUUCCUUUAAUAAAAUUAACCUCACUAAAUGAUAUAUCCCUAUUAAUUCUCAAUUCAAGCUCUUUGCUUUUUAAAGCAUUGAUCACAAUAUCUAAAGUAAUUUUAUCUCUAUCAUACUUAAUAUCAGACUUAACAUCAUUAUAAAUAUCAGGAAUAGCAUUCAAGAGCACAAUAGGGGUAUAAUCAUCAAUGUUCUUAUCACCAGUUAAUUUAAUAUCUUGAACUAACUUGGUAAAAACAUCCAUAUUAGCAUCAAUAUUUUUGCGAGAGUCCAAUUUAAAUCCAAAAAACAUUUCAAGCAAAAAUAUUUUAUCGGGCAAAGAAUUUUAAACAUAAAGCUCCUCCAAUUUAUUUCAGAAACUUCUAGCAGAAUCAUGCUUUCCUACUUUUCUAAUCACAGAGUCACUUAGAUUCAAGAUAAUAGCACAAUAAGCAAGCUCACCAAGUUCUUCACGUUUAGCAACAAUUAUAAAAACCUCUUCAUUUAGAGAAAUUGCUUUAAAAUAUUUUUGAUGGAAUAAAAUACCUUUCAUUUUCUGUUGCCAAAUAGAAAAAUCACCCUUUCCAUUGAAAGGAGCUAAAGAUAACAUAGACAUAGAUCCCAUAUUCCAAGUAUCACAAAGAUAGCAAAAAAAUCACAAAGAUUAUUAGCAGGAUCAACACACCAAAGAAUCACAAAGAUUCAAUAUUCUUUAGCAAAAUCGAAUCACAAAGACUCACAAAUUUUCAAAAAAUCACAUAGAUAAUAGAAUCACAAAGAUUCACAAUUUCAAUGCAAAAUCGAAUCACAAAGAUUCCAAUUUUUCAAAUAUCACAAAGAUAAAGAAUCACACAGAUUCACACAAAAUAUUAGGAGAAGUAAUAAAUAAAAGAAUCACCAAGAUUCACCAGUAACAGGUAUAACUAUCACAAAGAAUCAAACAACUCAUCAAGAGUUGAAAUUUAUACCUGAGCGAAACCCCUGGACCAGGGUUUCGUACGCCGCUCCGGACGGACACUUAACAACGCUCUGAUACCACUGUUG
rnacentral:lncRNA from 1 species